rnacentral:lncRNA from 1 species
AUGAAAGUGCUGCACUCAAUAUGCCAGCAAAUUUGGAAAACUCAGCAGUGGCCACAGGACUGGAAAAGGUCAGUUUUCAUUCCAAUCCCAAAGAAAGGCAAUGUUAAAGAAUGUUCAGACUACCACACAAUUGCACUCAUCUCACACACUAGAAAAGUAAUGCUCAAAAUUCUCCAAGCGAGGCUUCAGCAAUAUGUGAACUGGGAACUUCCAGAUGUUCAAGCUGGUUUUAGAAAAGGAAGAGGAACCAGAGAUCAAAUUGCCAACAUCUGCUGGAUCAUCAAAAAAGCAAGAGAGUUCCAGAAAAACAUCUAUUUCUGCCUUAUUUACUAUGCCAAAGCCUUUGACUGUGUGGAUCACAAUAAACUGUGGAAAAUUCUGAAAGAGAUGGGAAUACCAGACCACCUGACCUGCCUCUUGAGAAACCUAUAUGCAGGUCAGGAAGCAACAGUUAGAACUGGACAUGGAACAACAGACUGGUUCCAAAUAGGAAAAGGAGUACAUCAAGGCUGUAGAUGGUCACCCUGCUUAUUUAACUUCUAUGCAGAGUACAUCAUGAGAAAUGCGGGGCUGGAAGAAGCACAAGCUGGAAUCAAGAUUGCUGGGAGAAAUAUCAAUAACCUCAGAUAUGCAGAUGACACCACCCUUAUGGCAGAAAGUGAAGAGGAACUAAAAAGCCUCUUGAUGAAAGUAAAAGUGGAGAGUGAAAAAGUUGGCUUAACGCUCAACAUUCAGAAAACAAAGAUCAUGGCAUCUGGUCCCAUCACUUCAUGGGAAAUAGAUGGGGAAACAGUAGAAACAGUGUCAGAUUUUAUUUUCUUAGGCUCCAAAAUCACUGCAGAUGGUGACUUCAGCCAUGAAAUGAAAAGAUGCUUACCCCUUGGAAGAAAAGUUAUGACCAACCUAGAUAGCAUAUUUAGAGACAUUACUUUUCCAACAAAGGUCCGUCUAGUCAAGGCUAUGGUUUUUCCAGUGGUCAUGUAUGGAUGUGAGAGUUGGACUGUGAAGAAAGCUGAGCACCAAAGAAUUGAUGCUUUUGAACAGUGGUGUUGGAGAAGACUCUUGAGAGUCCCUUGGACUGCAAGGAGAUCCAACCAGUCUAUUCUGAAGGAGAUCAGCCCUGGGAUUUCUUUGGAGGGAAUGAUGCUAAAGCUGAAACUCCAGUACUUUGGCCACCUCAUGAGAAGAGUUGACUCAUUGGAAAAGACUCUGAUGCUGGGAGGGAUUGGGGGCUGGAGGAGAAGGGGAUGA